rnacentral:lncRNA from 1 species
UUAAGUGACAGGGACAUGGUGCAGCACUUUCUCAGGUGGACAGUUCUGGAAAUGAAGAAGUUACAUUAAGUUGUCCCUCUUUAGAGCUAGGCCUUCUCAUUUCUUCUAUAGCCAUAGUAAUUCCACCCAGAAUUUGAGAUGAUCACAAAGCACAUGACUGCACAGUCUGAGACCCGACCUUCCCUUUGUAUCCUGUGCUAUGAACCGCGGCCAGCCGAGGCACUGCAGGAUGAGGCAGGCUAUUAGUUUCGCCUAGAAAUGCCCGAAAAUCGGAUAUUUUCGCGUUUUCCUCCUCUCUCCAGAUUGAAGGAGGUAUAAAAACAUCAUCCAGUUGCUUGUUUUGGCUUAACCUUGGCAGAUGUAAGUAUGUAUUUAUGAAAUCCCUUUAUCUGAGCACUGAGCUUUUUCUGUCUGCCCAGAGUGUGUGGUCAAAGGCCUGCUGGGCUGAGCAAUUUGCUGUAUCUCUUAUUUAGCAAUCAACACUAAUAAGAAAUGUGACACUCACUUCACUGUGCCUGUUCUGCUGUAACAACAUCUCUGUGUGCAGUUAUUGCUGAGAUUUGUUACCAGGCUUUUCCUUGGAGGCAAAAAGGAUCCUUUCAAACUGCAAUAUGUCAGCCUAAAAAGGUGUAAGUCCAUCUGCUUUUUCAUUCAUCUUUUCCAGUGUUUUACACUACCUUUGUGCAAAUGGUGAGGAGGAAGGGUAAGUGCUGUCUAAUGAAUGGCAAAAUUCCAUUGUCUCCAAAAAAGGUUGGGUGUUUUUGAGUAUUCUGAAAUAGGAAAUAUGGGCAGAUUGCAAUUUGCAAAUGGAAACUGUGUCUAUGCUUAUUGAACUUGGUCUUGAUUUUAGCUGAGCACUGCACCACUCACUCAUUUUCCUUGCCAAAGUAGGCAACUGGACUAUUCAGUCCAUCCAGCUAACCUCAGUGAAACUAUUUCCUGACAGUUUUUUUUCUUUUUCCCCAGGAUUAAAGCAUCAGGUCCUUCUGUUACAGGUAAUAUUUAGUUGCUAAGAUGAGAGUAGAGGGAGCAACCCAAGGCAAAUACUCACCAAUGGGAUUGUGUAAAGUGCUUUAAUGCAUAUGAUUAAAAAAACCUCUGUUAAAAGAUCAAAAUACUAAUCAUGCCAAAAAUACUCGGUAUUGUUUAUCAUUUGACUUUUUACAAAGUUUUUUAAGGUACUUUACAACUGCUAAACAAAUCACUGACUCUUAAGCUAAAUGUAUAUGUUGAGUGUGUAUGGGGAUUUUUGUUUCUUUUGCAUUUAUAUUUGUGAAUAGACCAGAAGAGGGCUGCUUAACUCUAAAGUAGGAUUGUAGUAACAAAUUUGUGAAUAUUGUAAAAACUGUGUUAAAGCUUAUACGUGGUGUGCCAGGUAGCAGGCAGUAACAGCUGUCUUUGCAUAAAUAUUUCCUUUUUCAUUUUUAAUGUGAGCUAAAUAAGUUUCCUUCUCCCACUCCUCACCCAAAUGCU